rnacentral:rRNA from 1 species
CACAUGCAAGUCGAAGCGGCACGCACGGGGGACAACCCUGGUGGCGAGUGGCGAACGGGUGAGUAAUACAUCGGAACGUGUCCUGUAGUGGGGGAUAGCCCGGCGAAAGCCGGAUUAAUACCGCAUACGCUCUACGGAGGAAAGGGGGGGAUCUUAGGACCUCCCGCUACAGGGGCGGCCGAUGGCAGAUUAGCUAAUUGGUGGGGUAAAGGCCUACCAAGGCAACGAUCUGUAGCUGGUCUGAGAGGACGACCAGCCACACUGGGACUGAGACACGGCCCAUACUCCUACAGGAGGCAGCAGUGGGGAAUUUUGGACAAUGGGCGAAAGCCUGAUCCAGCAAUGCCGCGUGUGUGAAGAAGGCCUUCAGGUUGUAAAGCACUUUUGUCCAGAAAGAAAACGCCGUGGUUAAUACCCGUGGCGGAUGACGGUACCGGAUGAAUAAGCACCGGCUAACUACGUGCCAGCAGCCGCGGUAAUACGUAGGGUGCAAGCGUUAAUCGCAAUUACUGGGCGUAAAGCGUGCGCAGGCGGUCCGCUAAUACAGAUGUGAAAUCCCCGGGCUUAACCUGGGAACUGCAUUUGUGACUGGCGAGCUAUACUAUGGCACAGGGGGGUAGAAUUCCACGUGUAGCAGUGAAAUGCGUAGAGAUGUGGAGGAAUACCGAUGGCGAAGGCAGCCCCCUGGGCCGAUACUGACGCUCAUGCACGAAAGCGUGGGGAGCAAACAGGAUUAGAUACCCUGGUAGUCCACGCCCUAAACGAUGUCAACUAGUUGUCGAGUCUUCAUUGACUUGGUAACGUAGCUAACGCGUGAAGUUGACCGCCUGGGGAGUACGGUCGCAAGAUUAAAACUCAAAGAGAAUUGACGGGGACCCGCACAAGCGGUGGAUGAUGUGGAUUAAUUCGAUGCAACGCGAAAAACCUUACCUACCCUUGACAUGUACGGAUUCCUGCUGAGAGGGAGUUGUUAGGGAGAACGGAGCCAUGACACAGCUGUUGCACUGCGGUCGUCAUCAGGUGACGAUAGAUGUUAAGGACCUCAGCACCACCAGCGCGAACGUUGUCCGUAUUUGUUCCGCAAGCGCUCUGUAGGUAGAGAACCGGUGCCUAACCGGUGGAAAGUGCGGAAGGCUUCGAAGUCUCAUGGACAUUAUUGUUGGGGACGCGCACUUCAUGCAAUGCUCGCAGAAGGGGGUCGGCAAGCCGGGAAGCGGGGCCAAUUCCACAAAACCCAUCUUAGUUCGGAUUGCACUCUGCAACUCGAGUGCGUGAAGGAGGAAUCGCUAGUAAUCGCGGAUCAGCAUGUCGCGGUGAAUACGUUCCGGGGUGUUGUACACACCGCCCGUCACACCAUGGGAGUGGGUUUUACCAGAAGUGGGUAGGCUAACCGCAAGGAGGCAGAUCACCACGGUAGGAU